ACCAAACUCCUAUCAAGUUAUAGUCUUAAUCAUCGGUUUUAUAUUCUUACUUCAAUAUUCUAAGGAUGUCAAAACCCGCGUCUCUGCUUUUUCUUGGUUUCUAUCUAGUUUUGGUUAUGUCGAUGAGUUUUGAAGGUGUGAACGCAGUCGAGUGUGAGGAUUUCAUUUUACCGCUUCUUGAUCCGAAUCUUUGUAAGACUACAUGUGUGUUAUCUUUCAGAAACGACCUUGUGAGUUCCGCGAUCAUAGGGAAUGGCGUAUGCGAGUGUUGCCAUAAUUAAAGUUUCACUAUCUGACCAUUCCGGUAACCGGCUACGACGACAGUUUGUCUUACGAUCGCGUGUGUUCACUUUACAAAUAAACUCAAAAUGAGAACAACGGUACUUGUUGGUUUAUUUUAUUUUGUCAGUAUUGUACUUCUCUUCAGUAGCAUCACGUUUGAUGCUAUCAGUAUUGUACUUCUCUUCAUUAGCAUCACGUUUGAUGCUAUGUGUUCAGUUUUUAUUGUUAUUGGCUUUGGAUUGCGGAUAUUAAUAUCGUUUUGUGUGUGAUUUUGUUUGAAA